CGGGGGCUUCGACCCCCUCGGUGCCGCCGCUAACGCAUUAAGUGCUCCGCCUGGGAAGUACGGCCGCAAGGUUAAAACUCAAAGGAAUUGACGGGUCCCCGCACAAGCAGUGGAGCAUGUGGAUUAAUUCGAUGCUACGCGAAGAACCUUACCAGGACUUGACAUCCUGCUGAAAGCAUCUGGAAACAGUAGCCCCCUUCGGGCAGCAGUGACAGGUGGUGCAUGGCUGUCGUCAGCUCGUGCCGUGAGGUGUCAGAUUAAGUUCUGUAACGAGCGCAACCCUCGUUGUUAGUUGCCAUCAUUAAGUUGGGCACUCUAGCGAGACUGCCAGCGUCAAGCUGGAGGAAGGUGGGGAUGACGUCAAGUCAUCAUGCCCCUUACGUCCUGGGCUUCACACGUGCUACAAUGGCCGGUACAACGGGCUGCAACACCGCGAGGUGAAGCGAAUCCCUUAAAGCCGGUCUCAGUUCGGAUUGGAGGCUGCAACUCGCCUCCAUGAAGUUGGAAUUGCUAGUAAACGUGGAUCAGCAUGCCGCGUUGAAUACGUACCCGGGGAUUGUACACACCGCCCGUCACACCACGGAAGUUGGUAACACCCGAAGUCCGUCAGCUAACCCGCAAGGGGAGCAGCGGCCGAAGGUGGGAUCAAUGACUGGGGUGAAGUCGUAACAAGGUAGCCG
rnacentral:rRNA from 1 species